rnacentral:ncRNA from 1 species
ACAUUGAAUAAACUACUCUGUUAGGGGAAUCGUGUGAAACUCACGAGCUGUCGCGCAACUGUAAGUAAUUAGAACUAAUUAUAAGUCAGAUCACCUACACAGUAGAAGUAUAAUAU